AAAAUUGAUCAUAUAAAUAAAAAUCUAUGUUUUUUUCUCUAUCAAUUGAUAUGCAUUUUGUUUAAUAAUUUUUAAAUUUUAUUUUACUGUAAUUGUGAAACUAGAGAUAUAAAUACAAUCUUUACAGCUUAAUCUGUACAGCGCAAUCAGUACGAAGCAAUCUAUGCGGUUGUAUCUAUACAGUGCUGAAACAACCCGACCCAUUUUUUAGAAAAAAAAAUAUAAUUAAAUAUUCCCAUAAAUAUCUAAUUAAACCGCAAGUCAAAAAUACUAUUUUAUGAAUAAAUAAAUAAUUCGUCCAACAAAACCAAGAAUAACUAACAAUCCUAACCGGGUUCCAAUAAUCAAAAACACCAAAAAUAAAACAAACGAGUUCCUAGAUCAUCCUCUCUUCCUUGCCAUGAUUCCACGAUCACACUUUAUCUUUACCUGCAUCAACAAAACAAUGAGAUGCGUAAGUAUUAUCAUAAAUAUUUAGUGAGGCGAUCCUCCCAUCUACGAGCUAUACACACAAGCAAAUAAAAAGGUAUAAUCACGAAUACAAUACAAACAAACCAGUCAUUGAACAAUUCACCCAAAACACAUUCACCACACCUACAUAUCAUCACACAAAACAAAUCACACAACCUUAUCGCUCAGAUAAGUUCAUGGUCACGCACUCACCUUAACAAAAUGAUUCUAAUAGCAAUUAAACCCAGGAGAGACUCUCCUUGCGUCUGAGACAGUCCAGAAACGUCCUGCAACAAGUCCACAACCAAAAGCAACCUUGAAGCAAACUGGACAGGAAAAACCAGAAACAAACCGUCUCAAAGAUGAAACCCUAAAAUACAACCUAACCGUUAACUAUUCAAUCGUUCCGGUGAAAUCCUAGCUGCAGACGUCACAAAGCUGCCCACCAAAUCUC
rnacentral:sRNA from 1 species